rnacentral:rRNA from 1 species
UUAAUUUAAAGUCUAACCUGCCCAAUGAAUAAUUUAAUGGCCGCAGUAUUUUGACUGUGCAAAGGUAGCAUAAUCAUUAGUUUCUUAAUUAGAAACUGGAAUGAAAGGUUGGACGAGAAAAUAGCUGUCUCUUUAUAAAUUAGUUAGAAUUUUAUUUUUAAGUUAAAAAGCUUAAAUAUUUUUAAAAGACGAGAAGACCCUAUAGAGUUUUAUUUAUAUUUAAUUAAUUAAUUUAUUAGAAUUAUUUAUAUUUUAAUUUUAUAUAAAUUUAAUUGGGGUGAUUAGAAAAUUUAAAUAACUUUUUUACAUAUUAAACAUUAAUUUAUGAUUAAAUGAUCCAUUAAUUUAUGAUUAUAAGAUUAAAUUACCUUAGGGAUAACAGCGUAAUUUCUUUAUAGAGUUCUAAUCGUUAAAGAAGUUUGCGACCUCGAUGUUGGAUUAAAAUUUAUUUUUGGUGUAGAAGCUAAAAAAUUAGGUCUGUUCGACCUUUAAAAUUUUACAUGAUCUGAGUUUAAACCGGUGUAAGCCAGGUUGGUUUCUAUCUUUAAAAUUAGAAUAUAUUUUAGUACGAAAGGACCAAAUAUAUUAAAAAUUUUGUUGAAAAUUGAAUAUUAUUAAUAUUA